GCGGCACUAGUACACCGGUAGUAUGCGUGCUUCCCAAGCAUGUGAACCGGGUUCGACUCCCGGGUGCCGCA
rfam:Ramazzottius varieornatus DNA, contig: Scaffold002, strain: YOKOZTNA-1.